CUGAUAUUACUAGGUGAACGACAAGGUAAUCAUCAAAAGUGGAUGGUCAGCAUUGAAUCCUUAAUCGUUUGUGAAGGGUCCAACCUCGCCACAUUUCUAACAGGGAUUGCGACAUGUUUCUCCACCUUCUAUAUUCUGAAUCUGCAAUAUCAGGAGGAGGCAGCGUGCACCCUUGAAUUCUUCCAGAGAAAAAGGCCCAGAAGAAACCUAAGAACAAUCACUAAUAAGUAAAGUGAAUGUUACUUGAUUUCUCAUGAAUGUUACUUAAUUCCCUCCCUGAUUAUCAUUUAUACUCAUCUCUUACUUUAAAUUCUUCUGGACAUAAUCUGUCAGUUUAUUCAUUCUCACAUGUACACAAGGCCAAUGCGAUGCAAUGAUAUUGAUAAUUGAUAAAUAUCUGUGAUGAUUA